UACGGGGGGGGUAAGCGUUGCUCGGAAUUAUUGGGCGUAAAGCGCACGUAGGCGGCUUGGCAAGUCGGAUGUGAAAUCCCUCGGCUCAACCAAGGAAGUGCAUCCGAAACUGCCGAGCUUGAGUACUUAAGAGGAUCGCGGAAUUCCCGGUGUAGAGGUGAAAUUCGUAGAUAUCGGGAGGAACACCAGUGGCGAAGGCGGCGAUCUGGGAAGAUACUGACGCUGAGGUGCGAAAGCGUGGGGAGCAAACAGG
rnacentral:rRNA from 1 species